rnacentral:rRNA from 1 species
UACGUAGGGUGCAAGCGUUUAUCCGGAAUUAUUGGGCGUAAAGAGCUCGUAGGCGGUUUGUCGCGUCUGCUGUGAAAACUGGAGGCUCAACCUCCAGCCUGCAGUGGGUACGGGCAGACUAGAGUGCGGUAGGGGAGAUUGGAAUUCCUGGUGUAGCGGUGGAAUGCGCAGAUAUCAGGAGGAGCACCGGUGGCGAAGGCGGGUCGCUGGGCGAGCAACUGACGCUGAGGAGCGAAAGCGUGGGGAGCGAACAGG